UGGGGAAUAUUGGACAAUGGGCGGAAGCCUGAUCCAGCAACGCCGCGUGAGGGAUGACGGCCUUCGGGUUGUAAACCUCUUUCAGUACCGACGAAGCGGAAGUGACGGUAGGUACAGAAGAAGGACCGGCCAACUACGUGCCAGCAGCCGCGGUAAUACGUAGGGUCCGAGCGUUGUCCGGAAUUAUUGGGCGUAAAGGGCUCGUAGGCGGUUUGUCGCGUCGGGAGUGAAAACAGCGGGCUUAACUCGUUGCUUGCUUUCGAUACGGGGCAGACUAGAGGUAUGCAGGGGAGAAUGGAAUUCCUGGUGUAGCGGUGAAAUGCGCAGAUAUCAGGAGGAACACCGGUGGCGAAGGCGGUUCUCUGGGCAUUACCUGACGCUGAGGAGCGAAAGUGUGGGGAGCGAACAGGAUUAGAUACCCUGGUAGUCCACACCGUAAACGUUGGGCGCUAGGUGUGGGGUCCUUUCCACGGAUUCCGUGCCGUAGCUAACGCAUUAAGCGCCCCGCCUGGGGGAGUACGGCCGCAAGGCU
rnacentral:rRNA from 1 species